UGGAAAUGAUGAAAUAGAGAUAGUUGGGUGUUGAAUGUUGUAUGACUGGAAAUUUUAGUAAUCUGUAAGUAAUUCUUUCAGUUGAGUAUUUUGUAGUUAGUUAAUAGAGUGUGUGCGCGUGUGUGUGUGUAUGCGCUUGUGGCUAUGGAAAGGGGGCACUGAAUGGUGAUGCUGAUAUUGGAGUGCAUCUGAGGCUGUUGUAGAAAAUAACAUGGGUUCUUGAUUACAACAUUGCCAAUGAUUAUUACCCAAGAACAGCUCACCUAAGUAGCCUAGCACCCUAAAAUCUCUAACAGGUUCAUUGAUGUGGUCCUGUGAUCUGAUCCAA
rfam:Cavia porcellus supercont2_8 genomic scaffold, whole genome shotgun sequence.